ACUAUAAUGCAAACGCUGUGAUUCGAUCUGCCAAGUUAAGCAAGAUAUCGCCUAGUCAGUACUGCGGUGGGGGGACCACGCGGGAAUCCUAGGUGCUGCAGUUC